CCAUUGUAUCUCCAUUGGUGGAAAUUGGCACAGCUCCACUGGUAUCAGUGGAACCGCAUGAGUUUAUGAACUUUCAUGGUGCUUCUAGAUAACAUUUUAAAGUGAGGGACUGUGUGUACUUACUGCUAUGUGUCUGUAGAUAUUUACCAAUGUUUAAGUUCCCACUAAAAUUGUUGAGAAUCAUAAAAGUUUACUUAAAAUAUUGCAGCUGAGGUUAAAGGAUUCUGAUAGCACCUACAAGGUGCUGCUAAUACAUCAAUCCUCUGCAGAAUUUCAAAAGAGGACAGGAGAGG